rnacentral:tRNA from 1 species
GAGUCAUUAAUUUUAAUGAUUUUUUAUUUGCAAUAAAAAGGCGGGUAAACUUAGAUUUCA